rnacentral:lncRNA from 1 species
UGAGUUACUUGUACACAGCAUUGAUCUGUAUUCUGAGUUCGACUGGUAGUUGUUUGUGGAUCAAAAAUUUUAUGAUAAGUUGGAAUCUGGAAUUCUGUUGGUUUUUAGUGCAUGAAGCUCACCUGUGACCAGCAACUGGCUUUACCUCCUUUUGUCACCUUAGAAAAUUUUUAUUCUCUUUUUUUUUUUAAAUGUGAAAUAUGGAUCAUGACCAAUUUAUGCGUUUUGCUUUUUUUCUUUUGGUUAAUUUAUGUCCUCAAGGUCUUUAAUUUUUCUGACAUUUGAUGCUGUUCCUGUGAUCAAUCAAGCAGUACCUGCUUCUGUACUACACAAGGCUGAAGUGCUGGUCUGCCAGACGAGGCAAUCUCUCUGAGAAAGAACGAGUUCUGAUAACGGUGAAAGGGUAAUGAAUCUGAAUGCUUGGUUUAGCUUGCUGGGAGAUCUGAUUUUAGUCGCUGGAAAAGCUGAUAGAUAUUUGAGUUAUAACUUCCCCAAAUUUGUUCCUUUUCUAUUAGUCUAUUCCUUUUUGUUUUCCUUUAUUUAAUUGUUGUCGUACUAUGCAAUUGAAUCACUCUGCACCAAUGUAACAUUUUUUUCGUUUUCCUUUAUUUACUUGAUUUUCCCAGUCCUCUUACAUCCCAAGAGAGUAAAAGCAUGUCAAGGUGGGCAGAAUCGGUCCUGAUAUUUUUUAGACCUAGGACUAAAUAAAAAAAUGAGACAUUUUUUAUUAAAAAUUAACAUACUUUAAAUAUUAAUUAUUAUUGAAAAAUUAAUCUACGUGUAAUAAUUUUCUAUAGAUAUAUUCAUUAAGCAGUGUAUAAAAUCCAUCAUUAACCUAUUUAAUUAUUUUUUUUGUUAUAAUAUUGUAGAAAGGCAUUCUUGCACUUUAUUGGAACAUCAAUACAAGGUGUAGGCUUGGGGCCUGAGGUGGUCGCCCAGUUUGACCUGCCUCAGGGCCGGCCCUGAAGGUGGGGUCACACUGUCUUAUAUUGGAAGUACACCUUUCAAGCAACAUGCUCCCUCAUGCCUUACAGCCACGCUUGUUGGGAUUACAGGCCAUUAUUCUAAAUCUAGAAUCUUGAUGAAGAUAGAGAAGUCCAC